AACGAACGCUGGCGGCAUGCCUAACAUAUGCAAGUCGAACGAGACCUUCGGGUCUAGUGGCGCACGGGUGCGUAACGCGUGGGAACCUGCCCUUAGGUUCGGAAUAACUCCCCGAAAGGGGUGCUAAUACCGGAUAAUGUCUUCGGACCAAAGAUUUAUCGCCUUUGGAUGGGCCCGCGUUGGAUUAGCUAGUUGGUAGGGUAAAAGCCUACCAAGGCGACGAUCCUUAGCUGGUCUGAGAGGAUGAUCAGCCACACUGGGACUGAGACACGGCCCAGACUCCUACGGGAGGCAGCAGUGGGGAAUAUUGGACAAUGGGCGAAAGCCUGAUCCAGCAAUGCCGCGUGAGUGAUGAAGGCCUUAGGGUUGUAAAGCUCUUUUACCCGGGAUGAUAAUGACAGUACCGGGAGAAUAAGCUCCGGCUAACUCCGUG
rnacentral:rRNA from 1 species